rnacentral:rRNA from 1 species
CCUACGGGGGGCAGCAGUGGGGAAUAUUGCACAAUGGGGGAAACCCUGAUGCAGCGACGCCGCGUGAGUGAAGAAGUAAUUCGUUAUGUAAAGCUCUAUCAGCAGGGAAGAAAAUGACGGUACCUGUGUAAGAAGCCCCGGCUAACUACGCGCCCGCAGCCGCGGUAAUACGUAGGGGGCAAGCGUUAUCCGGAUUUACUGGGUGUAAAGGGAGCGUAGACGGCAGUGCAAGUCUGGAGUGAAAGGCGGGGGCUCAACCCCCGGACUGCUCUGGAAACUGUACGGCUGGAGUGCAGGAGAGGUAAGUGGAAUUCCUAGUGUAGCGGUGAAAUGCGUAGAUAUUAGGAGGAACACCAGUGGCGAAGGCGGCUUACUGGACUGUAACUGACGUUGAGGCUCGAAAGCGUGGGGAGCGAACAGGAUUAGAUACCCCAGUAGUC